rnacentral:rRNA from 1 species
GAUGAACGCUGGCGGCGUGCCUAAUACAUGCAAGUCGAGCGAACAGACGAGGAGCUUGCUCCUUCGACGUUAGCGGCGGACGGGUGAGUAACACGUAGGUAACCUACCUAUAAGACUGGGAUAACUUCGGGAAACCGGAGCUAAUACCGGAUAAUAUUUCGAACCGCAUGGUUCGAUAGUGAAAGAUGGCUUUGCUUUCACUUAUAGAUGGACCUGCGCCGUAUUAGCUAGUUGGUAAGGUAACGGCUUACCAAGGCAACGAUACGUAGCCGACCUGAGAGGGUGAUCGGCCACACUGGAACUGAGACACGGUCCAGACUCCUACGGGAGGCAGCAGUAGGGAAUCUUCCGCAAUGGGCGAAAGCCUGACGGAGCAACGCCGCGUGAGUGAUGAAGGUCUUCGGAUCGUAAAACUCUGUUAUUAGGGAAGAACAAACGUGUAAGUAACUGUGCACGUCUUGACGGUACCUAAUCAGAAAGCCACGGCUAACUACGUG